AAAGUAUAACAUAGGGACCAAAAGUGCUAUAGGAGUACAGAAGACACAGGACUUCAUCCUAACUGGGGUGAUUCAGGGAACCAAUAUAGUGGAAGCAACAUGUGAUUUGAGUCUUAGAGAAAGAAUAGGAUUUCAACAGAAAAGCAGAACAGGAAAGAACAUCCCAAGCAUGGAGGCCAACAAAAAGGUACGGAGGCAUUUAAGUUCUAUCAGAAUUAUCUAAGAACCUCUACAAAUGAUUUGGAACCAGAGAAGCAGAGUCCUUCAGAGCUGUCCUGAAUGAAGUCUAGUCCAGAAUGUACAAGAUAUCCAGGGACCAUACACCUACAUAAACAUCUGGGAUCCAAAAUGUACUGAUUAAAUGGAUAUUGGAAUGGGGAGACUUGAUAUUAGUUGAUGAUCAUUGUUGUAUUGCUUUAGCCUUUUGUUUCAGUGUUUCUAUUGGUGUUUUAAGUAUUCUUGGUUAUGUUGAUGACAUGUAAAUAUUCCUUCUAAAAAAUGAUUGUGAGUCCUCUAGUUUGACCUGUAACCUAAAUAAAUUCUGCUUAUGAAUAUAAGAAAAAUCUUCU
rnacentral:lncRNA from 1 species